UAUGUGUGGGUCUCUACAUUAGGGCAUACGAUAAUGAACUGAACAAAGUGUGCUCAUAGUUUAGUGGGUGAGACAUUGUAUAAACACAAAUACUUACAAUCAUCCAAUAAUAAAUAUAGAAUCAUGAUAUGAACAAGGCCCUGUGGAAACACAGAAGAGGAAGGUAUCUAACUGCCUGGAGAAGUCAGGAGAGGCGUUUUGAACAAGAUGGCUUCCAGGCGGAAAGGGCUGAUGGAGGAGACCCACCGAGAACAGCAAGGGAAGGAAAGGAGGAAUGUUCCAGGAGCAGCAAGUAGCACACUUGGAGAAGCCUUGAGUGCAGGGUGCCUGUAAGGGAGUGGCAGGAGAUGAGGUGGAAGCUGUGGGCAAGAACCAAAGUGUCAAGGGUUUUCCGAGGAGUUUGGACUUUAUCCUGAAGGUUCUGCGGAACCUCUGAAAAGACAGAUAGGUUGCACUUUGACGGUUGCCUUUUGGAGAGAUAAUCUGUCAGCCGUGUGGAGGAUGGAUGGGAGACCAGGGGAGAAUAAGAAUAGCGUGGUGAAGAAGAGGACGUGCUGGUUCAGAAUCUCUGGAGGAGGGGCAGGACAGGCACACGUAUUUAAAAAGAAAACCACACAGGUGAUUCUGAUGCACCUUCCUGUUGCUCCCUCAAUACUACCUCCCAAACAAAUAAAUUGGGGGCAGUGAUGCAAAAGAGAUGGGUUUAAGAACUAUGAAGGAGACAGAAACUACGGGGUUGAGUGACAAAUUAAAUCCAGGGGGUGAGGGAGGAGAGGACAGAGUCUAGGGACGACCUGGGUGAUGGUAGAUGAUGGUACCAAAUCAGGAAAACAGGUGGAGAUGGCUCUCUUAGGGAGGACACUCCCUGAGAGUUAAGAUGGGAACAGAUCGUUGAGAGGCGCCCGCGGGGCCCCCAGGUGGAGUCACUUUGUAGGCAAGUAAAACUAAGGACUGGGAGCUCAUAGCAGAGUCAGGGCCAGACAUGUUUGAGGGUCCAGUAGUUGAAGCCAUGGAUAAUGAGAUCACUCACAAAAAGUCUCUGAGUGAGAGAAGAAAAGUGUUAAAGGAUGAAAUUCCUGUGAAACACAUAGCUUUAAGGAUGGCUGGAAGGGGAAAAGACUUGAAACCUGAUCAAAGAAGGAGAACAGGGGGAGACUGGUAUCUUCGAAGGAAGGGAACCGAAAGUUUCUACAAGGGUAGACCAGUGACAAAUGCCCCCAAGAGGUCAAGGCAGCGAGUGGAUCCUUUGGAUUUGACAACGGGAAGGCCACUCUUUACGUGAACAGUUGUAGGUCGGCUGUGGUGGUGGAAAGCAAGUGGCAGCGGUCAGCGAGGCCGGAAGGCAGGAGACCGAUGAAAGAACAAUGGCGUAAAGAACCAGAAGGUAACACUGUUCCAGGCGUCUUUUCAGAGGAUCAUCAGGUAUCCUGAACCAGGAGAAGGUGGCUCUCAGACCUCUCACUGGGACUGCAAAGGAGCUGAAAUGGCCUUUACAGUGAUGGCCGGAGUGACUUGCAAAGCAAUGUACUAAUGAUGGCGGAGACUCAGUUAGCCUGGAUCCCUGAAUGACUGUGAAUCAGAGCCCUUGCCAACUUGGAAUUGGUGCUGGAAGCUCGGCCUCUGUGCACAGGUGCCGAAUUGAAUCUCAGAGACA